rnacentral:rRNA from 1 species
GGCCUAUUGAUUUAAAUAUUAGGUCUGACCUGCCCAAUGAUGAGUUGAAUGGCCGCGGUAUAUUGACCGUGCAAAGGUAGCAUAAUCAUUAGUUUUUUAAUUGAAAGCUAGAAUGAAAGGUUUGAUGAGGAAAAUUCUGUCUCUUUAAAAAUUAAUUAGAACUUUAUUUUUAAGUAAAAAAGCUUAGAUUUAAAUGGAAGACGAGAAGACCCUAUAGAGUUUAAUAUUUUACUUAAUUUAGAAGUCUAGGUUUAUAAAAUUUUAAAUUUUUUUAAAAUAUUUUGCUGGGGUGAUAGAAAAAUUAGUUAAACUUUUUUUAAUUGAUUAAUUCAUUGAUUUAUGAGCAGAUGAUCCUUAUUUAGAGAUUAAAAGAAUAAAUUACCUUAGGGAUAACAGCGUAAUUUUUUACAGAGUUCAAAUCGAAUAAAAAGAUUGCGACCUCGAUGUUGGAUUAAAAUAAAUAGUUGGCGCAGAAGUUGAUUAAUUAGGUCUGUUCGACCUUUAAAAUUUUACAUGAUCUGAGUUUAAACCGGCGUGAG